CCCCACUCCUCUCCUCUCCUACAUUACCCAUUUUGCCCCUCUCGAAACCCUAACCCUAAGAGAUGAAGGGCGCGAAAUCGAAGACCGACACCGCUAAGGUCACCAAGAAGGCCGAAGCCAAGGUGGCACCGAAGAGGAAGGCGGCGGAGAAGCCGAGCAAGGCCGCUAAGCCGGCGAAGAAGGGGAAGGCCGGCGUUGACCCCAACAAACCCAAGCGCCCUGCCAGCGCCUUCUUCGUGUUCAUGGAGGAGUUCAGGAAGGAGUUCAAGGAGAAGAACCCCAACAACAAGGCCGUCUCUGCUGUGAGCAAGGCUGGGGGAGACAAGUGGAAAUCAAUGUCUGAUGCUGAUAAGGCACCCUAUCAGGCUAAGGCCAACAAGCGUAAGACUGAGUACACCAAGAACAUGGACGCCUACAACAAGAAACAGAAGACUGCUCCUGCGGCUGCAGAGGAGGACGAGGAGGAGUCUGACAAGUCGAAGUCUGAGGUGAAUGAUGAUGAGGAUGACGAGGAGGAGGGAAGUGGUGAUGAUGGCGAUGAGGAGGAUGAGGAUGACGAGUAGAGACUAGUGUGUUGAAGGAGAAGAUUUGCACUGAACUGGAGGUUUUUCUUUUUUGUUUAAGCUGUUUUUGAUGUUUUCUGUUGGAAUGGGAGAAGGAACAGAAGUAGUGUUAGCAUUAUCUUUGUAGUCUUGGCAUUACUAUUGGUCUUUAUGCAUAUGAGAUCGAAAGUGGUGGUGAGACUCUCCCUAACUGCCUUGUAGCAACUCUUUGCUUUACUCUCUUGUUCAUCAAUGGGGAUAUGUAUCUAGUUUCCUGAACUAUUUGGAAUGGAACUU
rnacentral:misc_RNA from 1 species